AACUUUUGACAAUGGAUCACUUGGCUCUGGCAUCGAUGAAGAACGCAGCGAAAUGCGAUAAAUAAUAUGAAUUGCAGAAUUCAGCGAAUCAUCGAGUUUUUGAACGCAUAUUGCGCCCUCUGGUAUUCCGGAGGGCAUGUCCGACCGAGCGUCGCAUCACCACUCAGGCUCGCCUGGCGUUGGGAACCGCGGGAAACCGCGGCCCCGAAAUUCAGUGGCGGCUCCCAGUGCCUACCUAGUGAAGUAAAAGCUCGCUUCGGACGCCUGCGUGCCUGCCGUAAAACUGCAGACCUAGGUCGCAACUUUCAGGUUGGCCUCGGGUCGGACAAGAUUACCCGCUGAACUUAAGCAUAUCAAUAAGCGGAGGCU
rnacentral:misc_RNA from 2 species